rnacentral:rRNA from 1 species
AUUGAACGCUGGCGGCAUGCCUUACACAUGCAAGUCGAACGGUAACGGGUCCUUCGGGAUGCCGACGAGUGGCGAACGGGUGAGUAAUAUAUCGGAACGUGCCCUGUAGUGGGGGAUAACUGCUCGAAAGAGCAGCUAAUACCGCAUACGACCUGAGGGUGAAAGGGGGGGAUCGCAAGACCUCUCGCUAUUGGAGCGGCCGAUAUCAGAUUAGCUAGUUGGCGGAGUAAAGGCCUACCAAGGCAACGAUCUGUAGUUGGUCUGAGAGGACGACCAGCCACACUGGGACUGAGACACGGCCCAGACUCCUACGGGAGGCAGCAGUGGGGAAUUUUGGACAAUGGGCGCAAGCCUGAUCCAGCAAUGCCGCGUGCAGGAAGAAGGCCUUCGGGUUGUAAACUGCUUUUGUCAGGGAAGAAAUCUUCUGGGCUAAUACCCCGGGAGGAUGACGGUACCUGAAGAAUAAGCACCGGCUAACUACGUGCCAGCAGCCGCCGUAA